UACGGGAGGCAGCAGUGGGGAAUAUUGCACAAUGGGCGCAAGCCUGAUGCAGCCAUGCCGCGUGUAUGAAGAAGGCCUUCGGGUUGUAAAGUACUUUCAGUCGUGAGGAAGGUGUUAAGGUUAAUAACCUUAGCAAUUGACGUUAGCGACAGAAGAAGCACCGGCUAACUCCGUGCCAGCAGCCGCGGUAAUACGGAGGGUGCGAGCGUUAAUCGGAAUUACUGGGCGUAAAGGGCACGCAGGCGGUUAAUUAAGUUGGAUGUGAAAUCCCCGGGCUUAACCUGGGAAUGGCAUUCAAGACUGGUUAGCUAGAGUCUUGUAGAGGGGGUAGAAUUCCAUGUGUAGCGGUGAAAUGCGUAGAGAUGUGGAGGAAUACCGGGUGGCGAAGGCGGCCCCUGGGACAAAGACUGACGCUCAUGUGCGAAAGCGUGGGGAGCGAAACAGGGAUUAGAUACC
rnacentral:rRNA from 1 species